GAAGGUAUGCUGUCCACAAUGUGUUUGAUAGCUGAUAUGGGACAGGAUUUCUUCUCACUGUUUGUGUCAGUGUAUCAAACUCAUACCUGGACAUC
rnacentral:pre_miRNA from 1 species